GGGAAAGAUGAAAAGCACUUUGGAAAGAGAGUUAAACAGUACGUGAAAUUGUUGAAAGGGAAACACUUGAAGUCAGUCACAUUCUGCAGGAUCAGCCUUGCCAAUAGGUUUGGUGUAUUUCCUGCAGGAUGGGUCAACAUCAAUCUUGGUCAAUGGAUAAAGGAGUGGGGAAUGUAGCACCUUUGCAGGUGUGUUAUAGCCCUACUUUGUAUACAUUGGCUGGGAUUGAGGACUGCAGCAUGCCCUUUGGGCCAGGACUUAUCAUGUCGCAUGCUUAGGAUGUUGACAAAAUGGCUUUAAGUGACCCGUCUUGAAACACGGACCAAGGAGUCUAACAUGCCUGCAAGUGUUUGGGUGGAAAACCCUUACGCACAAUGAAAGUGAAAGUUGGGAACCUCUGCAAGGGGGUGCACCGAUGCCCGGCCCUGAUGUUUACUGACGGUGCUGCGGUAGAGCAUGUAUGUUGGGACCCGAAAGAUGGUGAACUAUGCCUGAAUAGGGUGAAGCCAGAGGAAACUCUGGUGGAAGCUCGUAGCGAUUCUGACGUGCAAAUCGAUCGUCAAAUUUGGGUAUAGGGGCGAAAGACUAAUCGAACCAUCUAGUAGCUGGUUCCUGCCGAAGUUUCCCCUCAGGAUA
rnacentral:rRNA from 1 species